UCUGCUACCAAGUGAGUCCCAGGAAUGGAGCACCGGGGGACCGGCUUGGCAGUAGGUGGCUUUACCCACUGUGCUAGCCUCUCUCCACAUCCCUGGCACACCACAUUGACCACAGCAGGGCCUCCCUGGUAGUUUGACCAGCUUCUCCUGUGAUUUCAAAAUUCAGCUAAGUGCAUUCUGUCUUUACCGAGCCACAUCAAUAAAGCCUUCCUCCUUCCCUGCAUCUCUGUGUUCCCAAGGACUACAGGAACCACCGUAGACGCCAGUGCUGUCUGUUGCAUCAGUGGCUCACUGGGCCAGUAUUUAAAACAAACUCUGGAAGCAACACAGCCUUUCCCUUUUGUAAGUGUAACGUAGUUAAGAAGCCUGGGAGUGUGCAAGGGAUGCCAAAUCUGGAGUGGACAGCCCCGAUGACUUCAGCCCAUUCUCAGUUUCUGAUUACAAUUAGAUUUCCUUUGGCAUCGAAAGACUGUUCAUUUUAGUAAACAGUGCUCUUCCCUAGUAAGAGUGAUAUCUAGCUCCUUGGACCGGGACCUGCUCACUGGUGAGGCAGUGUGCCCAGGCUUCUUCAGAAAGAGCUGAAACGCUGACUUUUGAAGAUGGACACAAGCUCACCAAUCUGCCUCUGCAAAGUGACCCGGCCAGUUGCCAAGCUGAAUGGCCUCUGCUGAGCUGACUGGCUUCGUACUGAGCAUGCCAGGAGAGAGGCAGAAACACAGACCGGGCGAAGACGCACAGGGAGAUGAAACCGAGAUACUGUUUCCACUUCUUCCUACGCUCGCUGUGAUAUGGUAAAUUAUUCGGGGCAGGGAGAAGUCAGCAGAAGGCAGGAAGACAAGGCAGGACAGGCCAGCAGAGGAUAAAAACACGAGAACGCGGUUUUGAAAACAGCCUUUCUCCAAGGCGAAGGCUGACUGACUCAGUGAACAGACUACCCUCCCGUAGAAGCUAAAGAUGACAUGAGUCGCAGAGGACCAUAAUUUGCAAAAAAAAAAAUCAUCGUAUGAAGUAAUUAAUGUAAGCAUGGGUAAGUUUCCAGGAUUAAGACUUUGAUCUGACAAGCAGAAGAAGUGGAGUAAGGCUGGCACGGGUGUGCUGUGGCCUUAAGACUUCAAAUGUUUUUCCAUGCUAGUCAAAAUUUAAUUACUUCUCCCCCACCCUCCGCCACUGACAGUUCCAAAUUAAAAUAAAUGGACCAUGUCGAGACAAAUCUCGGAUGCAUGUAGUGCUUGAGAAAAUGCUGCUGCUCGCCCAUGGACAGCCUGAGACUCUCCUAAUAAAUUCCCUUCCUUCUUCUUGGGAUGGUAAGGGAAUUGAGGGGCAGGGCUUGGUGUUGAAAUAAAGAAACAGGCUCGGAUCUAGUGUGUUUUGCAGGGUUGUUCCCACAGGAAUGCUCUUCUCCUAUAUGUUCUCUGUGCACUGAUCUUACAAGGUUUGGGGGAAGUGGGAUAGACAAAUGCCCUGUGGUCACCCAAUGUAUUAAGCUAAUUCCUUUCUAAGUGCAGGUAGAUUGGUUUUUACUUAGUGACAACCAUCAACUCUGUUAUAGAUUAAUGAGGGUUUGAUAGCCCAGUUGGACCUCGUACGGCCACACAUUUGCUAUCAUUGUAACAGAGGCGGCUCCUUGUCACCUGAGGCAAGGAAGCAAUUCACUCGACAUGAGUCUGUCCUCUUCAAGACGAGGCCUGGGGAGUCCCGGAGACCUGCCUUCUCAUCUCUGCAGCUCUGAAGCAUUUGCUGAGCAUUCCCACCUUCCCAAAACCCAUCGUUUAGAGAACUCGCUUGUCAUUGGCUUCUUGUUUUGAAGUCCCAGUUCCUGGUAUUUUCCUCAGACUCAUUGUACCUCUCAAGACUGAGUGGGAAAGUAUCAGGCAGGCACCAUGGCAGUAAACAGGAAGCCAGUGGCCCCUUGGAACCAUGAAUGCUGCCCUCUGUGUUUGGUCUUGGGAAGUAGAGAUAAGAAGGUACACAAAUUCGGUCAUGUGUCUGUGGCAAUUCAAACAAAUAAUGAGUCUCACAAAUAGGAAACCAUAAGCACUCAGACACACUGGAAUUAAUGAAGAACUCUUUUCCUAGUGAUGCCACUCUGGCUUGAGAAAAUUACCUGGAAGCUUCCGGUAGUCACAGCGAACCAACAGUGAGGAGCGUCUCUGCUGUUCUUGUCAUCAGUUCCUUCUCCAUCCAGAGCUGUUUCAGAAAAUCCGCUCUAGCCUCCUCCAACCUGUCUGUACAGAGGCCAAUUCUACCUUCAUGCUGAGGAUCAAAGCAAGAAUGGGGGAGAAGAAGCCGGACGGUUCCUCACAACUGGAGCCUUCCUUUUGUCCUUGCCUAGACUCCCGAGAAGGCAGGGAGCCACAGGUCCUUCCAUCCCUUGGCUUCUCAUUCCAUCCCUCACAAGCCACUGCCACCCUCCCCUGAGCUCUGAGAGCACAGCUUUGCAUGUCUUCACGACUGGCUGAGUCACCUUUGGACACCAGCAAGGCUGUACCAUGUCUGAGUCGAUCCUGCGUGCUUCUCCACAGGUCCCUUCAAUACACUCUGGAGCACCGCCGCUAUCAGCAGCACGGCAGUUCCUUCCAACUCUAGUGUGAGACACGGUCUGUCCCCAUACCUUUCUAGAAGACCUAGGUGACCUUGUUUCCAUCUAUUCAGUGGACAGUUUGCCUAGUCUUGUGGCAUUGUCAACGUAAUCCUAAAUGCUCUGACACUAGACCUCGAUGAAAACCAAGGUCUCUGUGCUUCGUCACAACAUUGGCUAAUCUCACGACUCCUUGUCUUCUCCCUCAUGUGUUGGGAAUUCUAGUAAUUUGUCCUUCUCUGUGGUUUCUGGAAUUACAGCAACAAUUUCUAAAUCAAAUAAGACAUACUAUGUUGAGAUUUUGACUACAUUCGUAUUGAAUUUAGAGAUUCAAUAUCGUUUCAUUUUUUUUUGUAAUGUUAGCCCAACGACCUAAAACCAUCCUUUCCGUGGACUUCCCAGCUUCCUCUCUGAGCUCUCUUCCGAGACAAUCUUCGAAAGCAUCGCUGUUGCGCCCUCCAUACCUGGGCACGCUGGGCACCCAGGAUCUUCUUUCUGACUCGUGAACCACAAUAAGGCUGUAAGACAGGAACUGAGCUCUUACCUCAUGGUGGAGCUAGCAGGACAGGGUGGAGGCAGUGGAGAUCAGGCAUGGCAGCCACUGAGGUGGCAGGGAGAUGCAGAUCAUGGGGCCAGGCUCGUGGGAUAUCACUAAGUUGGAUGGCCAGCAUGACCAGGUAGCAAGGACGCCAACACCUUAUCUUCACCAACCACUGCCCAUAAGAGCUAACAACAACAGGAAGAGAGCAGGAUACACGGAGAACUCUUAAAACACUGUCCUAAGACCCAACAGCUCUCUGCUAAGCCUAUAAAUGAUGAGUGUGUGGUGCUCACAGCCUCAGGCUGUCUGCCCUUACCCAGGCUGCAUGACUUUCCUUCCUCCAAAGCAGCAAGCCGUUCCUGCAAGCAAACGGCAAAUGUGGGACCUGGGUGUGCACCAGUGAAGAAGGUAUUGUUCGUGGUCACAGUAUCACCCGGAGACGCCUGGGAACCAAACAGCGAUGCUGGUUUGUAUAGAGGGAGCAGAGAUGCUGGUUUGUAUAGAGGGAGCAGAGAUGCUAGGGAGGCCUGUGGGAGGUAAGGGGGUGCCGAGCAAUGCAGGUUAUUUGGUUUUAUUUGUUAGCUUCCUGUCUAAACUGUUGGCUGCAAAAAUUCCCCAAUUACAUUACGUGUCAGGGAACCUUGAUACACCUUAUGAUAUCCCUGGCAGCGUCUAGCUUUACUUAGCUUUUAAGUUGCUUUCCCCAGAAAAGUUUUCUUCAUGGCCUGCAGCACCAUGUCAUUUUGAGGACCAAAAUCUACAGAGUUUGCACUGAGAGGGAGCACACGAAUAGAGAAAGUGACUCCAAGCAGCCUGAGUGAAGACAAGCCCUACAGUGAGCUCCUCUCGGUUCGAGUAUUUUAGAAUUGUUUCUACAAAGAAAAUGUCUC
rnacentral:sRNA from 1 species